rnacentral:piRNA from 1 species
UAUAAACCUUAAACAAGAAGCUGGGCC